UAGCAUAUUUAAGAAAAAUCCAUUAGCAAGAAACUACAGUUCUCUCUCCCAUAGUUUUCUCCUUUGGCACAGCAUUAGUGUCAUUAAUAUUUUCCUUUCGUUAUUUGAGACUGCAGUUGCGGCACGUUAAUGAGCCACAGGGCGACUGCGGAUGUAACAGCAACGGCAACAGUAAGUAACAAGAGCAAGAGCAACGCCAACCUAAUCAUCUGCCGGCUCACUUAACUGCUAUUAUUGCACUUCCUACGCGAAGGCCCUCGAGCCGAGGGAAUGAAUAACGAACCCACACAAAUUAUUUUCGCGCUGGUUUCAUCUCAAUUUUUACAGCUCCUUCGUCUUGAAUAAAA